UCAAGGCUCGCACAGCAAUCAAUGCCUCCGGAGGAGCAGAAGUGCCAGAACCUGACGGAACCACAAUAGGUUGAUUCAAGUGGAAUGCAGACACGACCUUCGGCAGGAACCUGUCCACGUAAAAGACCAAGUAGGGACUCCUCCUCCUGUAUCUCCUCAUCAGAGUCUGAGAUUAAAGCAGUACGCCAGACCAGCCGCCCAGACAGGCCCCAGCCAACUGAUGAGGAUGCUGGGAUUGCAGGUUCUACUUCUGUAAGCCGACCUCCUCUAAGGCGCCCAUCACAGGGCUCGGCUAACGUACCCAGGAGGCCAAGCAAGACACGGCGUCUUGAAUCAGAAUCUGCGGCUCCAUCUUCCCCACCCAGGCGGCGCAUCUCCGCAGUCUCACCCCAGCCACCACAAGCACUAUUGGCUAGUCCACAAAGUGAUGAGCCACGAUCACCUCAGU